rnacentral:misc_RNA from 1 species
CUCGGAGGCGACCGCCUAAGGUAGGACUGGUGACUGGGGUGAAGUCGUAACAAGGUAUCCCUACGAGAACGUGGGGAUGGAUCACCUCCUUUCAACGGAGUACACAAUGUUAUGGAAAAAUUAUUUGUAUCCAGUUUUGAGAGAUUUAUCUCUCUUUUUGUUCUUUGAAAACUGAAUAUCGACAUUGAAAAAUUAAAUUAUUAAUAUUUCAAAGUUUAGAUCAACCUAUAGAAUAUAUCAUACAAUAGACAAACAAUAGGUCUUAUACUACUAUUAAACAAGAUAAGAGUUUUUGGUGGAUGCCUUGGGUCUGAAAGUCGAUGAGGA